rnacentral:rRNA from 1 species
AGAGUUUGAUCCUGGCUCAGAACGAACGCUGGCGGCGUGCCUAACACAUGCAAGUCGCACGAGAAAUCCUGGGCAACUGGGAAAGUAAAGUGGCGCACGGGUGAGUAACGCGUGGGUAACCUGCCCUUAAAUUGGGGAUAACACCGCGAAAGCGGUGCUAAUACCGAAUGAUAUUUUGAUUCCCUUGGGGAUUGAAAUCAAAGAUGGCCUCUGCAUGCAAGCUAUUGUUUAAGGAUGGRCCCGCGUACCAUUAGCUUGUUGGUGGGGUAAUGGCCUACCAAGGCAACGAUGGUUAGCUGGUCUAAGAGGAUGGUCAGCCACACUGGAACUGAGACACGGUCCAGACUCCUACGGGAGGCAGCAGUGGGGAAUCUUGCGCAAUGGGGGAAACCCUGACGCAGCAACGCCGCGUGGGUGAUGAAGGCCUUCGGGUCGUAAAGCCCUGUCAGGUGGGAAGAAACWUGUGRAUGUWAAYAMCAUYSRCAYUUGACGGUACCACCGGAGGAAGCACCGGCUAACUCCGUGCCAGCAGCCGCGGUAAUACGGAGGGUGCAAGCGUUGUUCGGAAUUACUGGGCGUAAAGCGCGUGUAGGCGGUCGGGCAAGUCAGAUGUGAAAGCCUUCCGCUCAACGGAAGAAGUGCAUUUGAAACUACCCGGCUAGAGUACGGGAGAGGAGAGUGGAAUUCCCGGUGUAGAGGUGAAAUUCGUAGAUAUCGGGAGGAACACCAGUGGCGAAGGCGGCUCUCUGGUCCGAUACUGACGCUGAGACGCGAAAGCGUGGGGAGCAAACAGGAUUAGAUACCCUGGUAGUCC